rnacentral:rRNA from 1 species
UACGAAGGGUGCAAACGUUGCUCGGAAUUAUUGGGCGUAAAGCGCACGUAGGCGGCAUUGCAAGUCCCAUGUGAAAGCCCACGGCUUAACCGUGGAAGUGCAUGGGAAACUGCAGUGCUUGAGUACUUAAGAGGAUCGCGGAAUUCCCGGUGUAGAGGUGAAAUUCGUAGAUAUCGGGAGGAACACCAGUGGCGAAGGCGGCUUCCUGGCCUGUUCUUGACGCUGAGGCGCGAAAGCUAGGGGAGCAAACGGGG